rnacentral:tRNA from 1 species
AUUCAUUUAGUAUAAAAAGUAGAUAAAGCUUCCAACUUUAAGGUUUUUAAAAAUGAAUA